rnacentral:rRNA from 1 species
UGCCAGCAGCCGCGGUAAUACGAAGGGUGCUAGCAUUGUUCGGAAUCAUUGGGCGUAAAGCGUAUGUAGGCGGCUUUGUAAGUUGGUUGUGAAAUCCCGGGGCUCAACCCCGGAAUUGCAAUCAAAACUGCUUCGCUAGAGUAUAGUAGGGGAUAGUGGAAUUCCUAGUGUAGGGGUGAAAUCCGUAGAUAUUAGGAGGAUCAUCAGCGGCGUAAGCGGCUAUCUAGACUAUUACUGACGCUGAGAUACGAAAGCGUGGGGAGCAAACAGGAUUAGAUA